rnacentral:lncRNA from 1 species
GAGGAUCUCGGCUGAUGGCUGGGAGCUUAUCCAUCGAGAAGAAUCGGAAGGAGUUGAUCUUGCGAACGAAGAGAAAGUUGGGACUUGGCUAGUAGCUGGAAAACAGGGGAUGAAGCCGGAAGAUUUAGAGAAAAGGAUGAGGUUGAAUCGCGGAAGAAAAGGGAUAAGAAUGAGUUGUAUAAGCGGCUGGGAACGGUUCUGAAACAGUGGAGCUUGGUCUGUGGACGUGACGUGGAAGGAAUCCGUCGCGGGUUGGCUUGAUUUGGCUGGGAGGAAGACGGGACGGCUGGCGGAUGUUUGGGAUGAAGUUUAGCCGGAAGAUAAGAUCUAGACUCUGGUUCGAAGAUGUUUAGAUGCCGUGAAAUCUGGG